GAUACUGGGCGUAAGCGCGCGUAGGCGGUUUGUUAAGUGAGAUGUGAAAGCCCCGGGCUCAACCUGGGAACUGCAUCUCAUACUGGCAGGCUAGAGUACGGUAGAGGGGGGUAGAAUUCCA
rnacentral:rRNA from 1 species